UACGUAGGGUGCAAGCGUUGUCCGGAAUUAUUGGGCGUAAAGAGCUCGUAGGCGCUUGUCGCGCUCGGCUGUGAAAACCUGGGGCUCAACCCCGGGCCCUGCAGCCGAUACGGGCAAGCGUAGAAUUCGGUAGGGGAGACUGGAAUUCCUGGUGUAGCGGUGGAAAUGACGCAGAUAUCAGGAGGAACACCGGUGGCGAAGGCGGGUCUCUGGGCCGAAAUUGACGCUGAGGAGCGAAAGCGUGGGGAGCAAACAGG
rnacentral:rRNA from 1 species